rnacentral:rRNA from 1 species
UACGUAGGUGGCAAGCGUUAUCCGGAUUUAUUGGGCGUAAAGGGAACGCAGGCGGUCUUUUAAGUCUGAUGUGAAUGCCUUCGGCUUAACCGGAGUAGUGCAUUGGAAACUGGGAGACUUGAGUGCAGAAGAGGAGAGUGGAACUCCAUGUGUAGCGGUGAAAUGCGUAGAUAUAUGGAAGAACACCAGUGGCGAAAGCGGCUCUCUGGUCUGUAACUGACGCUGAGGUUCGAAAGCGUGGGUAGCAAACAGG